rnacentral:misc_RNA from 1 species
AAUAAAACACAAUAUAUUUCAAUGGGUGUAAUAUUCACCACAAAGCCUCUUUAAUUAACAAAGCUUGAAAACAAAACUUCAUACAAAAUACUGUUUAGACUGUUUUAUAUCUUGGCUGUCUCUUUCUUUUGCAUCGACAUAUUCUUGAAAUGAAGGAGACGAAAGAUUUAAAUAUAAUUUAUUUAACCUCGUAAGGCCAAACCUAAAUUUAGGUGUCUAUGAAUUAUGACCUAACGUACUAAAAUUAAUUUUAAUAGUUGGGGCUCAAGGCUAAUCUCUCUUCCGCAGUCACCGGCUCCUCCGUCACGCAACGUUUUUUGGUUUGGAAAUACCAAUUGUUAAAAUGAAAGGCUUAUAGAAGUUGUAAACUUUUUUUUUUCAAUUAUAAAAAUAAGUAAAUAUUGUGUAAUAAUUUUAUGGCACGGGGUCGUCAUUUC